rnacentral:rRNA from 1 species
UAAGAGAUGAGGUGUAAAGGUGUCUUGUGUCUGAUGCUGGUGUGAUCGAAUUACCAUUGAGUGGGUAAUCAUAGAAGGUGAAAAUCCUGUGCGGUUGUGCCUAAAGCGUCGGACCGGGAUACUUGAGAGUCUAGUUGUUUGAGAGUACAACUUAAAGUUGGUGGUAAAUUUCAUCAAAGGCUAAAUAUAAUAAGGGACUAAUAGCGAACAAGUACCAUGAGGGAAAGUUGAAAAGAACUCUGACGAGAGAGUUCAACAGUACGUGAAACCAUAAUGAGUAAAACAGAUAACUGUGUCGUUACGUAGUGCGCCCUUCAACAGCGUAAACGGUGUUGUGAAGCUGUCAGUGUAGGCUGUCUAUUCAGCUGAACGCUGGUGGUUAGCAUAGCCGGGAGCUCUGUGGAUUUGUGCGUAUUCGAUCAUUGAGAAACUAUGCUGCUGCGUCAUUGGCGUUCUUCAGUCCGUACCUAGUGCGAAGUAGAAUGCUAGGCCGAUAGCUAGCGGUGUAGUUUGAAAAGUGGAGCACGUUCGUUUAAUGUCGCUGCUUUAUCUGCGCAUUAGUUUAUUCUUUUGUGCGGUGAGUAUGCGUGCAGUAGGCGAGUGUUCUGACAUCAAUGGUUGACAUUAGUUAUUUGACCCGUCUUGAAACACGGACCAAGGAGUUCAAAUGGCACGCGAGUCAUCGGGUGUAACAACCCGGAGGCGAAGUGAAAUGCAAACUGUAUUGUUAUUUGUGGUUCAGCCGCGAUUAAGCGAUAAGCUACUCAUGCUU